rnacentral:rRNA from 1 species
AUGAGGCCGCGCCGCUGCCAUCUCCGACCUCUGCGGUCGUCGAGGUCGCCGCCUGUCACGCGCUCGCCUUCGUGUCCGUGCCGACCGGGGCCUCCGUCUUCAUCCUUGGCUCCGGCGUGUGCGGCUCCUCUUGCGCCGCGGCAAUCGAUGCAGGCGUUGCCGCGCCGUCCCAGACACCCAUCAAUCCUCCGCCUUUGCGGCGCACAGGCGCUCGCCGCCGCCUCGUGGCCCUCGCCGUCCCGCUGGAGAGUCCACUCCAGCCGCGCAGCAGCAGCGCUCGCGCUCGCGGAUGGCGCCUACAACGGCGUCGCGCCCGGCCACCUCCGCGGUGGCUCCUCCUCCAGGACGAGCGCGGCGGGAGGUCUGUUGCGGCCGGUCAGCCUGCGCUGGGGGAUCUCCGCCGGUCUCCGUUGUGGAUUUGGGAUCGAAGUGACUCAGGAAUUGCUAGACCUGUCUAUUUCAUCUAGUGGCUCUCCCUUAUUUAAUCGGUUGGACCAGGUCGGGGCUGCCUUACGUGGCCAUAUGUAUGCGCUGGGAAUUUAG